CAUUAAAAGCAUGAACUAACACGGUGGUUGAAGUAUUAGGUGUUGAACUUUCUUAGUGGCGAACGGGUGAGUAACGCGUGGCAACCUGCCCUCUAGAUGGGGACAACAUCCCGAAAGGGGUGCUAAUACCGAAUGUGACAGCAAUCUCGCAUGAGGAUGCUGUGAAAGAUGGCCUCUAUUUAUAAGCUAUCGCUCGAAGAUGGGCCUGCGUCUGAUUAGCUAGUUGGUGGGGCAACGGCCUACCAAGGCGACGAUCAGUAGCCGGUCUGAGAGGAUGAACGGCCACAUUGGAACUGAGACACGGUCCAGACUCCUACGGGAGGCAGCAGUGGGGAAUCUUCCGCAAUGGGCGAAAGCCUGACGGAGCAACGCCGCGUGAGUGAAGAAGGCCUUCGGGUCGUAAAGCUCUGUUGUCGGGGACGAAUGUAGUAACCAUCAACAACGGUAACUAAUGACGGUACCUGACGAGGAAGCCACGGCUAACUACGUG
rnacentral:rRNA from 1 species